rnacentral:lncRNA from 1 species
UAGGAGGAUGUUGAUCUCUAUGCUAGAGAUCAUGAGAAGAAUCCUUUCUCCUCUUUUCUUUCUUAAACCCAUGCCCCAAAUCUCUAUGCUAGAGAUGUAAAAAUUUUGUCCAACUCUUGGACAAAGAAAAGAGAAAAAAUCUAUGUCCAAACAUGGAUAAAAUAUGGGAGAGAAGAUGUCCUAACAACCAACCAUUGGUUGUUUGUAAUAAAGAAAAGAUAAGUGCAACCUUACCUCACGCCAUGGAGCAAUUCACCGUGCCCUUCUCCCUUGUUUUUCCCCACACAC